UACGAAGGGUGCAAGCGUUGCUCGGAAUUAUUGGGCGUAAAGGGUUGGUAGGUGGUCUUGUUUGUCUAAGGUGAAAUCCCAUGGCUUAACUGUGGAAGUGCCUUAGAAACGGCAAGACUAGAGUUCUAGAGGGGUUUGUGGAAUUCCCGGUGUAGCGGUGAAAUGCGUAGAGAUCGGGAGGAACACCAGCGGCGAAGGCGGCAAACUAGAUAGAUACUGACACUCAACAACGAAAGCGUGGGGAGCAAACAGG
rnacentral:rRNA from 1 species